UGAAUACGAGACGCUAAGGCGUCGAAGUAGUGUAUGUCAUACUUCCAAGAAAAGCUUGCACUGUCAUAGAUAAAAAACGCCUGUACCAUAACCGACACAGGUGGGUAGGUAGAGUAUACUAAGGGGCGCGAGAUAACUCUCUCUAAGGAACUCGGCAAAAUAACUCCGUAACUUCGGGAGAAGGAGUGCCUUAUUCGUAAGGUUGCAAUAACAAGAUCCAAGCAACUGUUUAUCAAAAACACAGGUCUCCGCUAAGUCGUAAGACGAUGUAUGGGGGCUGACGCCUGCCCAGUGCCAGAAGGUUAAAGAAGUUGGUUAGCAAUUGCGAAGCUGAUAACUGAAGCCCUGGUGAACGGCGGCCGUAACGAUAACGGUCCUAAGGUAGCGAAAUUCCUUGUCGGGUAAGUUCCGACCCGCACGAAAGGCGUAAUGAUUUGGAUACUGUCUCGGAGAGGGGCUCGGUGAAAUAGACUUGUCUGUGAAGAUGCGGACUACCUGCACCAGGACAGAAAGACCCUAUGAAGCUUUACUGUAACUUGAAAUUGAAAUUGGACUUUAUUCGCGCAGUAUAGGUGGGAGGCGUUGAUUAUAAUCUUGUGGGAUUAUUGGAGCCAUCAGUGAGAUACCACUCUUGUAAUGUUAGAUUUCUAACUUUGAAUCAUUAUCUGGUCAAAGAACAGUUUCAGGCGGGCAGUUUGACUGGGGCGGUCGCCUCCUAAACGGUAACGGAGGCGUACAAAGGUUUCCUCUGAACGGUUAGAAAUCGUAUCUAGAGUGUAAAGGCAUAAGGAAGCUUGACUGUGAGACCUACAAGUCGAGCAGGGACGAAAGUCGGUCUUAGUGAUCUGACGGUACUGAGUGGAAAGGCCGUCACUCAACGGAUAAAAGUUACUCUAGGAUAACAGGCUGAUCUCCCCCAAGAGUUCACAUCGACGGGGAGGUUUGGCACCUCGAUGUCGGCUCAUCGCAUCCUGGGGCGGUAGUACGUCCCAAGGGUUGGGCUGUUCGCCCAUGAAAGCGGUACGCGAGCUGGGUUCAGAACGUCGUGAGACAGUUCGGUCCAUAUCCGGUGUAGGCGUUAGAAUAUUGAGAGGAGCCUUCUUUAGUACGAGAGGACCGAGAAGGACAUACCUCUGGUGUACCAGUUAUCGUGCCAACGGUAAACGCUGGGUAGCUAUGUAUAGAGUGGAUAACCGCUGAAAGCAUCUAAGUGGGAAGCCCACCUCAAGAUAAGUAUUCUCAUU
rnacentral:rRNA from 1 species